rnacentral:tRNA from 1 species
GGAGUGCGAGCAGCAUAGGUGACUGCACUGGACUGUAAAUCCGGCGUCUCCCGACAUACGGGGUUCGAAGCCCUGGCACUCCA